UACAGAGGUCUCAAGCGUUGUUCGGAUUUAUUGGGCGUAAAGGGCGCGUAGGCGGCGGGGUAAGUCGGGUGUGAAAUCUCAGGGCUCAACCCUGAAACUACACUUGAUACUGCUCUGCUUGAGGGCUGGAGAGGAGACUGGAAUUCACGGUGUAGCAGUGAAAUGCGUAGAUAUCGUGAGGAAGACCAGUGGCGAAGGCGGGUCUCUGGACAGUUCCUGACGCUGAGGCGCGAAGGCCAGGGGAGCAAACGGG
rnacentral:rRNA from 1 species